UACGUAGGGGGCAAGCGUUGUCCGGAUUUACUGGGUGUAAAGGGUGCGUAGGCGGGUACUUAAGUCGGAUGUGAAAUCUAUGAGCUCAACUCAUAGCCUGCAUUUGAUACUGGGUAUCUUGAGUAUGGUAGAGGUAAGUGGAAUUCCUAGUGUAGCGGUGAAAUGCGUAGAUAUUAGGAGGAACACCAGUGGCGAAGGCGGCUUACUGGACCACAACUGACGCUGAGGCACGAAAGCGUGGGGAGCGAACAGG
rnacentral:rRNA from 1 species